AGUGAACGCUGGCGGUAGGCCUAACACAUGCAAGUCGAACGGCAGCACAGUAAGAGCUUGCUCUUACGGGUGGCGAGUGGCGGACGGGUGAGGAAUACAUCGGAAUCUACUUUUUCGUGGGGGAUAACGUAGGGAAACUUACGCUAAUACCGCAUACGACCUACGGGUGAAAGCAGGGGAUCUUCGGACCUUGCGCGAUUGAAUGAGCCGAUGUCGGAUUAGCUAGUUGGCGGGGUAAAGGCCCACCAAGGCGACGAUCCGUAGCUGGUCUGAGAGGAUGAUCAGCCACACUGGAACUGAGACACGGUCCAGACUUCUACGGGGGGCAGCAGUGGGGAAUAUUGGGCAAUGGGCGCAAGCCUGAUCCAGCCAUACCGCGUGGGUGAAGAAGGCCUUCGGGUUGUAAAGCCCUUUUGUUGGGAAAGAAAAGCAGCAGGUUAAUACCCCGCUGUUCUGACGGUACCCAAAGAAUAAGCACCGGCUAACUUCGUG
rnacentral:rRNA from 1 species